UUUGAACGUUCGAUCUCAAAUCAGGUAGGACUACCCGCUGAACUUAAGCAUAUCAAUAAGCGGAGGAAAAGAAACUAACAAGGAUUCCCCUAGUAACUGCGAGUGAAGCGGGAAGAGCUCAAAUUUAAAAUCUGGCGUGCCUCUGGUCGUCCGAGUUGUAGUCUAGAGAAGUGUUUUCCGUG
rnacentral:rRNA from 1 species